GAGGAAUAUUGGUCAAUGGGCGCGAGCCUGAACCAGCCAAGUAGCGUGCAGGAUGACGGCCCUAUGGGUUGUAAACUGCUUUUGUAUGGGGAUAAAGUCAAUCACGUGUGAUUGUUUGCAGGUACCAUACGAAUAAGGACCGGCUAAUUCCGUGCCAGCAGCCGCGGUAAUACGGAAGGUCCAGGCGUUAUCCGGAUUUAUUGGGUUUAAAGGGAGCGUAGGCCGGAGAUUAAGUGUGUUGUGAAAUGUAGACGCUCAACGUCUGACUUGCAGCGCAUACUGGUUUCCUUGAGUACGCACAACGUUGGCGGAAUUCGUCGUGUAGCGGUGAAAUGCUUAGAUAUGACGAAGAACUCCGAUUGCGAAGGCAGCUGACGGGAGCGCAACUGACGCUUAAGCUCGAAGGUGCGGGUAUCGAACAGGAUUAGAUACCCUGGUAGUCCGCACAGUAAACGAUGGAUGCCCGCUGUUGGUACCUGGUAUCAGCGGCUAAGCGAAAGCAUUAAGCAUCCCACCUGGGGAGUACGCCGGCAACGGUG
rnacentral:rRNA from 1 species